rnacentral:rRNA from 1 species
CUGACCUCAAAUCAGGCAGGACUACCCGCUGAACUUAAGCAUAU